rnacentral:rRNA from 1 species
UACGUAGGGGGCAAGCGUUGUCCGGAUUUAUUGGGCGUAAAGAGCGUGUAGGCGGCCAGGGAGGUCCGUUGUGAAAACUCGAGGCUCAACCUCGAGACGCCGAUGGAAACCCCCUGGCUAGAGUCCGGAAGAGGAGAAUGGAAUUCCUGGUGUAGCGGUGAAAUGCGCAGAUAUCAGGAAGAACACCCGUGGCUAAGGCGGGUCUCUGGGCAGUGAACUGACGCUGAGGAGCGAAAGCGUGGGGAGCGAACAGG